rnacentral:lncRNA from 1 species
UUUUUUUUUUUUUUUUUUUUUCUUCUGUAGAAAACAUUAAGAAGUUGUUAUUUACUGCUUCCUUUGGAAGGGUUUUUAAUUAUUUAUCCCUCAGCAGUUCUCGUUUCUAUUUUUCCUGCCCCAUCCCUCUUUCUAGGGCCCCUCUCGCCCUCCUCUGCCUGGCUGGACAGUCCCCAGGCUGUUGCUAAGAAAAGCAUCGCCCACCACAGGCCAUUCAGAAGGGGCAGCCAGUUAAGUCUCACUCUCUCCGUGCCCUUACCUUCCCUGGUGAAAGGGGUAGGGCUCCCAUCUUUUCUCCCCAACAGGCUGACUGUGAGUCCCUUUCUGAAGGAUGGAGUCAACAAUUCUAAGCAUUUCACAACAUAUCGUGGCUUUUUUGUUCAAAACGAAUGUGAGCAGACAGGAGGAGAGAGGCCAUUUUUAAUUCAGUAUUACUUAAGCGGAAAAUACGUCCCUCAAUCAUUCCCCCCGCAAGUAGCUUUUUUAUUUUUACUAAUUAAACAAUUGUUUGCUUUGGAGAAGCAGUAAAAUACACUGAGAGUACUUUUAGCCUAAGGCAACUAGAUGGCCCAGAUAUAUCAGGCCAGUACCAUGUUUUUAAUGGACUUUCUUGCUGUCUAUUGCAAAUGGUCCCGGCAGUGAGAUGCUCCAGCAUUUCUGGUCUGUUUCCCCUCCUCCCCAUUCCCGUUCCAAUGGCCCAGACUCCUUCAUGCCUCACAUCUGCACUAUUAGGCCCCAGAAAGGUGGGCAAGGGGCCCAGUGGCCACAAAACCACUUACACUCGCUGGCAAUGCUUCAACAACCCUGCUGCCCGCAUCACAAAAAUCUUCAAUGAUGUUCAGUCAAAUCUGGUUAGCUUAUUUUAGCCAACUGUACUAGCCACAAAAAUUAAAGCAAUUAUUGUUUGCUUUAGAGGAGGUUUAUCCGACAGUCAGUUCUGCUCAGAAAUUUUGUUUCCCUUAUGGUGUAAUGGUUUAAUUUUUGUAAAGAUGUGUGUUAACACACGGACCCAGAGACUUACCACAUACCAACGUCAAAAUCUCGCAGGUUAAAAUACAAUUCCUUCUAUCCAUUAACAUUUGUGGAUAUCUUGACAUGCCUAAAACGCAUAGGAGGCAGUUCGAUUUGCAAGAAGAGAGAGCAGUAAAUGGGGGAAAAGCUCUGUGCCCCAACCCCUUGGAAUGUCAAUCACUUGUCACUCUCCCAUAAUCCACAGCGCCAGAGGAAGUACGUGAAACCUGUGAACUUAUGCUGCUCUUUGAGGAGGGGGAUCUUAUUGAAGAAAAAGGAAGGAAAGAAGGAGAGGGAAGGAGGGAGGGGAGAAAUGAAAAAACAAUGCAGCACAUCUAAGUGCCUCUCAAAAUGUGAAAGAUUCCUGUUUAAUUUUGCUUAAGUGUUUUGUGCUCUCAGUUACUGCUUGAAUUAAAUGAAAAGCGGUUUCAGUGGUAAACUGAGCCCUUAAAUAUAAGAAAUCUUUUCCAUUUUUUUUCUCAGCCCCCAUCCCAAAUGAUAGCAGCCCCCAGGGCACUGGUGAUAAGGAGGUGGUGCUGGGUGCAUAUGGGUUUCCGCAGACCCAUCUCGUCAGUGGCUGCACAACACCCUGAAUCAUAGCUCCCUUCUGUGUGGACAGGAACCAUCAGAACUCACGUUGGAGAAUCACAGAUUCUCCUGUGACUCCACGAAAGGAGGUUUGACAUUGCCUGAAAGAGCCAUGUGCUCUUAACAUAGUGAAUUGGAUCCUGCACUAUUUCUUUGUUAACAUUUUCUUAAAGUAUUUAAAAUCAACUCCUUUUGCAGAAUUGCAUUCUUCUCUUUGAUGCUUGUUUUUCUGCUUAAAAAAAAAAAAUCCUGCCAACUUUUCAUUCCCCCUGGUAAUGGAAGAGGGCCACAGUAGGUAAAUUAAGUCUAUAAAUAACUCUAAAUUUUCCUUCUAUUUGAUACUUUGAGCAAAAACUAUGACCAAAAUGUUUUUUUAAAAAAAAAUAAAAAGAGAAAGGACAAUAGGCUGACUGGUGGGUCUCCCUGCAAGGCUAACAGGAGAAAAAUGAUAAAAAGCCAAUAAAGAAAUUGUUAGACAAGCUUUCUAGAAGGUCACUUCUCUUAGAGAUUCUGGAGAAAGUGACCAUCAACAGAAAUGCUCUGGAAAUUAUGUUUGACUUAUAGCAAAGCUGUGUGUCAUGUGUCAUUGAAACAGAAUUAAUUCCAUCUGAGAGUUGGAGGGGGAGGUACAGGGCAGAGAACGGGUAUACCAACCAAAUGGUAUACAAAAGAGCCACACAGUGUUUUCUCAAAGAACUUGGAUUCAACGAGGAAGCAAAAUGAACAUGCGUGAGUGGAUAGGNCAAGGUCCAUCCAGUCCGAAAUGGGGCCAUCAUUCUAGACUCUUCUCUCUCCCUCCCCGCAGUUUCAAUCUCACUAAAUUCUGCCAUUUCUACCACCUUAAUAUCUCUUGAACCUGUCACUCCUCUCCCUUUUUUCUGAAAUAUUAUUAGUUGAGGCCCCUGUUGCCACCAACCUGGUGGUUGGGAUGGUCUAGGUCACAGAGUGAUAAUAAACAACCCCCAAAUCUCAGUGGCUUACACCAGGAACGUUUCCUAUCAUGGAGCAUCAUGGGGAGCCCUGCUCACCAUAGUAAUCCAGGCACACAGGCUGAGGGAGGCAGUCAUUUUUGAUAAAAUGAAUUGUGUACUGGAUCUUAAAGUUUCCAUCCAGAAAUGACACAUGACACCUCAGCUAACAUUUCAUUAGCUAAAACAUGUCACAUAGCCUCACCCAACCUCUUAGGGAGCCCAAAAGUGCAAUCAUAGCAUAUGUCUAGGAGAAAGAAAGCUGGAAAUAUUUGAUGAAAAUAACCAGUGACCACCACAUCCAGUUUAACGGAAUCACUCCUUAACUCAUCUUCUUGCUUCCUGCCUCACCUCCUCCAAUUCAUCUUCUCCACUGACCCUUCUUUAUUUAUUUUUUAUUUAUUUUUUGUCUUUUUGCCAUUUCUUGGGCCACUGCUGUGGUAUAUGGAGGUUCCCAGGCUAGGGGUCGAAUCGGAGCUGUAGCUGCCAGCCUACGCCAGAGCCACGGCAAUGCGGGAUCCAAGCCACUUCUGCAACCUAUACCACAGCUCACGGCAACGCUGGAUCGUCAACCCACUGAGCAAGGGCAGGGAUCGAACCCGCAACUUCAUGGUUCCUAGUCAGAUUCGUUAACCACUGUGCCACAACGGGAAUUCCUCCACUGACCCUUCUUAAAUUCAAAUAUGCUUAUGUGAGAUAUUGCCACCCUGAUAAAAAAAUGUUUAAUGGCACAAAUAUCACCUGAAAUUAAGCUAAACUUGUUUGGAUGUUGAACAAGCCCAUUUAAGUCUGGCCCUGAUCUCUCAUAUUUUCUUCCUAAUCUCCUACCACCAGUGAAGCAAUCUCCAUCUGUACCCAAAAUAUCAUAUGUUCCAGCCAUACAGAAGCCCCAAGGGGACACACCCUUUGUUACCCCAUCACUUCUUCACAUACUGUUUUCUCUCUCUAUGCUUAAAAUGACCACCAACUUAUUAUACCCUCUUCUUCAUCCACUUAGAGUCAUCUACAAGGUCACAGUCUCUGAAGAUAUUUCCUUAACAGCCCCAGGUGGAGUUAAAUUUUCUUUCUCUGCUCUCCUGGUGCCAUCUACAUACCUCUUCAAGUGCACCAAUUAUGUGAAAUUUACUCUUUGUUGGAGUUUCUCAGCUAAUAUAUUUUUUGAGACCCAAGGAGGAAAUGAGCUGUGUUAUUUAUGGGAUGGUCUGACAUAUAGAUAAUUUGAAAAUGUUUAUCGGGUAAAUGAAGUAACACACACACACACAAUCAGUUUCCAAGCUCUAUAUAGAUUCUAAGGUCUGUGGGAGUCCUGAGUAAGUGAAACACUAGCUUCCAUCUAAAAAUAUAUUAAUUUUCUCUAAUUUGCACAUAUAUGUUACAGUGCUGAUAUGUGGAGAAUAAUUAAUGUGCUUUUCUCCUUUGUCUUUUCAAGUGCAGGUCCUUCACCUUAGUUGACUUAGGGCAUUUAUCUUCCUAGGGAGAAAAUGAGGACUACUCAACAUGGAAUAUAAAGAGAAAAUAAGGUAAUUUUCAGCUUCUGACAUUCAAAUAUAAAAUUUUAGAGCAAGAAAAUCAUCUUGCAAACUAGGCAAGCUUGUAUUAAGAAAAAAAUUGUCUACAUUUAGCAUAGUGGAAGCCAGACUUGAUGGGCUUGGAGGGAAGUUCAAACAGGAAGAAGGAGGUAGAAAGUCCAUCCCUUCCUAACUCCUGGGGUUGGUGGGUAGGCACAGAGGGAGCAGCAGGAGAGUCAGAUAAGCAGAUUCUGCCCGAGUCUUCACAGGUUGACCAGAGCAGGGAGGGAAUUGAGGGUACCACUAAAGGUGGAAAAAAGCUCUUCUUUUGAUGGCCCUCCUGCACCCCAAUAGUCUCAUUAGUCUUCUGACAGUAGGCCACUUGUAGGUACCAUCACUCAUCUGGAAUAUAACCACAUCAAAGUAAAUCUGCAACCUAAGCACGGUAACAAAAUGGGAGGAUUUGACAUUUAUCUUUCCCAGACCUGGGCAGUAUGCACCAGCCCCAGAAUUGGCUACAGUGUUUUAUAAAGGAGGUCAGGGUAGCCGGUGAAGUUACACCAGUAUGGACUGUGUGGUGGACCCCCCAGGGCAGCUAUCCUGCCAGAGGUCAGAGGGGAUAAAAGUGAGCCUGGGGGAGACGAAGUCAGGCAUGGCUCACUAUCAGGAGCCAAAGAGAAGCCCGUGGGUGCUACAGAUUCCAAGAGCAGAGGCCAAUGAACAGGACACCCAAUGGUCUGUGAAGACAAGACACAAUCUCAGACAGACAUCAAUAAACUACAGGCCCGCCAUGCCCAAAGAGCUGCCUAAGGCACCAAACGUCUCCCCCUGAAUGUUGAGAGGUAAGUAAAUCCCACAUCCCUCCCUCUAUUCAACUGGACAUAGGCAGAAGAACACUGGAAAAAUUUGCAAAUAAGGAAAUUUUUAGAGGGUCUGAUAAAAUAUAUUUUAUCAGGCUAAGCUAUAAGGUAAAUUAGAUAUUUAAGGAAUAUGCCUCCACUUUCCAAUGAGUGCAGCAAUGUGAAGGACCCAAUUGUUACAAUAAAAGCAUAAGGUAAUGCUUUUUGCUGCAGAUUUAGAGUCUUUGUGAACCCACUGCCUUGUAUAUGUGUAGUUAUACAUGUACACUGGGCAGGAUGUUCCUCCCACCUUAGUCCAUAAAGGAUUGGAUUACACCUCUUUUUAACAUACCAUUUGGACUUAAAUGAUUUAUAGGAGGAAAGAUAAAUUUCAAAUAUGUCCUAGUCACAUAUUUUUAUUUCUGAUAGUCUACACAAUAUUGGAGCCUGGAUAUAUGGGUUGUGAAAUUCAUUUAGCUCAGGGAAUUGUCCUGACAGAAAGUGGCAGCUAGUUUUUAUUACCUGUAGUAGAGAUAGCAGGUGCUCACUCAAGUCUGGUUCUCUUCUUUCUCGCACAUGGGAAGAAGAUAUUGUUCCACCCCCUUAUCAUACUGAAGGGACUGUGUAAUUACUGGUGCCAGUAGGUUGUGGAAAAUGUGGUGCAGUCACUUCUGAGCAAAAGAGACAGGCAUGGACCUCCAAGUGUCCCUUCCUCUACCUCAGCUAUUGAAGAUGCAUGUGCCAGAUGGUGGGUCUGCAAGUUCUGUAUGGAAGAGAAGCUGCAGCCCACCUGUGUGGGACUUACGACUUGAAUGAGAAAUGAACUUUUGUUGUUCAAAAGGGUGAACUGGGAAAAUUUGACGGAGUUUUUUCCCCACAAAAUAACCUAAACCAUCCUGGCUAAUAUUACAUAUAUAUAUAUAUGUAUAUAUAUACAUUUUUUUUUUCCCAACAGUUCUCUAGCUCUGUUUCUCAGACUGAAAAGUGAGAAUAAGAUCCAGUGUUUAAUAAAUAAAACCCAAUUUGGGUUUGAGGAUACUUUAAGUUACUUUAAAGUAUAAUACAACAAAAAGCAGCUUCCAGAUCUCACAAUAAAGAAAGGACAACCUGCUGUCCCUGAUGUCUUGGUCACUGAAACUCAAAUAUCUACCACUACAACCAAAUCUCUCUAGAUGGCCAAUGCCUCUUUGCUUUUCUAGGCCUCACCUGCCUCACCCAGACAUUAAAUCCGAACUGAAAAUCAUUGUCAUAUGAAAACAUUCAACCUAGCUCACCUGGCAAGGUGAGAUUCCAUAUACUGAUGUGUUGCUAAGAUUUAAUACCAACAUAAUGUAGAACAAACCUGGCACAUUCCAAAACUUCUUCCAGAGUAAAUGCUGUUUCCUUUAUCUAGCUCUAUAUACUUUGUAUAAAGGUAAUAAAUAUCCUCUCAAAGGGCACAAAAAUAUUCUUGCGUGAAGUUAAAAGCAUGGAACAAUCUUUAGAUAUGUUUUUAAUUGGGGAAAUGAAUAAAGAAAACACCCUUUAAAGAGCAAUUUAUGGAAUUAGCAAUUCCUAAGAGGCAACAGCAUGUUGGGUGCUGCACCCGUGGCGUAAUUCCAAUAAUGCGGGCCAUUUUGUGGCGCCAGGCUUGGACUCUUUUGUAGCAGAGACGUCAUCAUUAUGAUCCAUCAAUAGACAGCUCCCUCCAUAAAUAUGCACAUAAAUUCAAAAUCUCAGUGGCGAUAUUAUUAUUCUAAUGGAAAUACUGUACAUCUUAAAUCAGUGGAGGUACUGCAUUUAAUUUGGAAGUCAAGUUUCUGUGACAAUGUGGCACUGCCUUGAAGAAUCCCAUUUACUCUGUGGCUCCUUCAUCUCUGGUAAUGGACCUUCUUUUUGUAGCCACCUGAAAGCCGAUUAUGUUUAGGGCCUUUGAAAUCAUCAAUAGUCAAUCACUUUGUUGCUGGUGGAUCUUGGAGAUGGCAUCUUAGAAUGGAUGUCACCCAUCUACUCAUUCAUUCAUUUAUUCAUUCAACAAAUAAUUGAGUGUCUCCUAUGUGCCAAAAGCUGUACUAAGCCCUGGGGGUUUAACAGUGAGCAAAAUGGACAAAAAUUCUUACGCUUAUGACACUUACACUGAAGCUGGGCCUGAGGGUCAGAAAGUCAAAGACUGGGUCUGUCAUUAACCAGCAGGGUCUCAGUUUCCUCAGUGAUGAAACCAUGAGGCUGAAGGAAGUUCUCAACCAAAGGCACCACCCUAGAAGAUAUCUGGAAAUUUGUUGAGAGGCUUUUGUUAUAAUAACAACUGGGGGAUGCUUUUAGCAUUUUCUAUCAAAGGCAAGGCCAGCAAUACUAAAUAUCUCAAACACAGAUACAUCUCACUAUGAAAUACUAUCCUACCCAAAAUGCAAAUGAAAUUCCCUUUGAAAAGCUCUUGAUGUUUUCUAAAGUUCCUUCCAUCUCUAACAGCAUAUAAAUUUGAAGAAUUGGCUCCUAUCUCUUCUUGAAAAAAAAAAAAAGUAGGUGCUUGCUGUCUCGGAGGACACAUUGAAGGAAGAGGAUUCCUGAUAAUUCUUCAUUUCUCUUGGAUCUUCUAACUGAAAGUAUAAACCUAGAGUCUUGUGAAAAUGCAAACACAAGCCAAAAACACAUUUUCUCAAUCCAAGAACAGAUUUCCAUCAGAAAGGUGUCUGGAUUUUUUUUUUCUCCUAAAAAGAAAAUACAGUAAGAGUCUCUUACAACCUUGAGACAACUGUGAGCAUCCUCUGUUAAAAGACAUGCCCUUCCCACACCACAGACACGGGAGCAUAAAUUAACCUGGAAUCUGAGUCCAUCCUGAGCACAAUUUUGUGGCUUAAUUUACCAAAUUGAUCUUAGAACCACUCUCUAGCUCUUCCUGAACCACAGUAGAUAAUGUCAGUGUUUUCUUAGCAUUAAUCUAUUUAUGGUGCCUAAUAUCUACAAAUGAGUUCGAUGUUGACCUAACGUGUUUUCCCCUCUGAAGCUGUCCUUCUUUGGAGAUUUUGUUCACUUGCUUAGGGAAAAAAAAAUAGAUAUAUAUAUAAUGAAGUCAGUGGAGGAGGAGGGCUGCAAAUUUAUAUUUCUAAUGAAUUCCCAGGUAACGGUGAUGCUGCAGUUGCUGGUGUGGAACGCUUUGAGAACCAUAAGUUGAGACAGUUUCUUCUAAGGAUUUUCCGGGCCAAAAAAAAAAAAAAAAAAAAGUCAAGGUUAUUCUGUGGCACUAAACUGCAGGAAGUGAUCCCAAGUAUGACCCUGUUUUUGCUGCCUAAAUUUGGCACCAGACUUUGUCAAAUAUUGAAACUCAUAGUUCUCACUCAGGGUGGCUGAUGGCCACUGAUUACUAACACAACAACAAGAAAAAAAUCACAUCAGUGGUGUCUGUAUGCAGCCCAAUGGAGGAGCAAGUUUUAGGGGUAACAGUGAGAAUUUCCUAGAUUUCACACCCUUUUAAAAUAGCUAUCACUAUCUGUUCCUUAACUCAAUCUGGAGGAUUGAAUUUAAACUUGGCACAGUGGAAUCUGCCCAUGAAAGCACAGCUAAUAACUAAAACCAACACUUCCCACAAAUCAAUCUGAUUCUAGCUGAAUUUGGCAGUGAUGGGAUUCUUACAGUCAUAUUGCCCUUCAGGAUAUCCUGGGCCAGAUGCCACUGACCUUGGGCAAUCUGAACUUCCUAAAGUCAGGAUGUUCUGGGCACAGAUUCAGAAGACUUGGUAUAAGGACUUAGGUAGAGUCUUAACUUGGACACUUUCUGCCAGUAAUAAUGAAUCAGUGAUUUGACCUUCCUGAAGAUUCUUUAUCUGCAGAAUGGGGAGAGGAAAACCUGCUCCAAGGCUUAUUGUGAAGACUUAAUAAAUUGCUUACCUAAAAAAACUUUUUAUACAAGGAAGCUUUUAAUAGUAAGUCGUACAUAAUGAAGAGUCAUAGGAAAUAGUCAUGUUUUGUUUACACCUGAAACUUCAUGCAGCAGCCUAAAUAGGUUAGAAUUUUAUGAAUUAAAUUUAUGGACAGGUAUCCAUAAAAUACAAAGGUGAGUUUUUAAAAAUGUAGGCUAUAAUUAUACCUAUGGCCUUAACAGGACAUUCCAUCUGAUUGAAGAUCCAAGGGUCUUUUGGGUUUCUGGGCAUUCAUAUUAGUUUCUCAGUUUCUCUCUUUUUUUUUUUUUUUU